UACAGAGGUCUCAAGCGUUGUUCGGAUUCAUUGGGCGUAAAGGGUGCGUAGGCGGCGGAGUAAGUUGGGUGUGAAAUCCCGGGGCUCAACCUCGGAAUGGCAUUCAAUACUGCUUCGCUCGAGUACUGGAGAGGAGGCUGGAAUUUACGGUGUAGCAGUGAAAUGCGUAGAUAUCGUUUGGAACGCCAAAGGUGAAAACAGACAGCUGGGAGUGUGCUGACGCUGAGACACGAAAGCCAGGGGAGCGAACGGG
rnacentral:rRNA from 1 species